rnacentral:rRNA from 1 species
GGCGGUGUAAAAGACCACCAAGGCGACGAUGGGUAGCAUGGUCUGAGAGGAUGGUCAGCCACACUGGGACUGAGAUACGGCCCAGACUCCUACGGGAGGCAGCAGUCGAGAGGCUUCGGCAAUGGGGGCAACCCUGACCGAGCGACGCCGCGUGGAGGAUGAAGGCCCUUGGGUUGUAAACUCCUUUUGUUAGGGAAGAAAUGCAAUCAGGUUAAUAAUCUGGUCGUUUGACGGUACCUGACGAAUAAGCUCCGGCUAACUCCGUGCCAGCAGCCGCGGUAACACGGGGGGAGCAAGCGUUGUUCGGAAUCACUGGGCGUAAAGGGCGUGUAGGCGGUCAGGUAAGUGGGACGUGAAAUGCCUCGGCUCACCCGAGGAGCGGCGUCCCAAACUGCUUGGCUUGAGUAUGGGAGAGGAUGUGGGAAUUCCUGGUGUAGCGGUGAAAUGCGUAGAUAUCAAGAGGAACACCGGUGGCCAAUGCUCACAUCUGGCCCAAUACUGACGCUGAGGCGCGAAAGCUAGGUGAGCUGACGGGAUUAGAUACCCCGGUAGUCCUAGCCGUAAACGGUGAUCACUAGGUGUUGGAGGCAUCGACCCCUCCAGUGCCGCAGCUAACGCAUUAAGUGAUCCGCCUGGGGAGUACGGCCGCAAUGGUUGAA